rnacentral:ncRNA from 1 species
CGGUUUUGACGCAAUGUGAUUUCUGCCCAGUGCUCUGAAUGUUAAAGUGAAGAAAGUCAAUCAAGCGCGGGUAAGCGGCGCGAGUAACUAUGACUGUCUUGUCGAAUCGGGAGGCAGGGUGACUCGUUGAAGAGCCCAUCAACAGUGUGA